rnacentral:rRNA from 1 species
AUACGGAGGAUGCGAGCGGUAUCCGGAUAUAUUGGGUUUAAAGGGAGCGUAGGUGGGAUAUUAAGUCAGCUGUGAAAGUUUGGGGCUCAACCUUAAAAUUGCAGUUGACACUGGUUUCCUUGAGUACGGUACAGGUGGGCGGAAUUCGUGGUGUAGCGGCGAAAUGCUUAGAUAUCACGAAGAACUCCGAUCGCGAAGGCAGCUCACCGGGCCGGAACUGACACUGAUGCUCGAAAGUGUGGGUAUCAAACAGGAUUAGAUACCCUGGUAGUCCACACAGUAAACGAUGAAUACUCGCUGUUUGCGAUAUACAGUAAGCGGCCAAGCGAAAGCGUUAAGUAUUCCACCUGGGGAGUACGCCGGCAACGGUGAAACUCAAAGGAAUUGGCGGGG